ensembl:lncRNA
UAUAUAUAUAUAUAUAUAUAUAUGUAUCAUUGAUAUUUUUGUAUGUAAUUUUCCGCAUACUAUUGUUUUUGUUUCAAUGUUUUUUUUGUGUAUUUUUCAGGUACUACAGGUUCCUUGGAAAACCUGUUUGUCCUCUAAUCUUUUCCCUGAUGAAACCUGUUUGUCAGUUACAGUGUCAGCUGCAUAAACCACAAAAAAGCACACACCAAAGGCUAGCAUGAAUUGAAAUAGAGUAGUUAUCUGUUUUUCAUUUCUUUCAGCUGUUAUAAUCUUGCAUGGGACCCUGAGAUGUUUCACAAUGUUGUUGUAGUCCUGAACAGGCCCACCUGAUUACAGGCUGAACAGGCCCACCUGAUUACAGGCUGAGCAGGCCCACCUGAUUACAGGCUGAACAGGCCCACCUGAUUACAGGCUGAACAGGCCCACCUGAUUUCAAUCUGAACAGGCCACCUGAUUACAACUUGAACAGGCCCAUUUGAUUAGAACUUGAACCGGCCCACCUGAUUACAGUUUGACCAGGCCCACCUGAUUACAGACUGAACUGGCCCACCUGAUUACAGGCUGAACUGGCCCACCUGAUUACAGGCUGAACUGGCCCAUGUUAAUCAAAGACUUGAUGAUUAGCUGACAAGUCAAAUCAGGGGUGCUAGCCCUGGAAUAGAUCACAUGGGAUGCUUGAGGUUUCCUGGGGAGAAAGUUGAAGACCUCAAAGCCUACUUUUCUAAAUCUAAUAUUAUGGUAGUUGAUUUUAUAAUUCAAUCACUGAAAAAAAUGCUGUUUAAAUAUUAAAAUGUAGGUUCAAUUGGUUAAUUUAAAAAAAUAAUUUUCCAGUCUGAGUGUUUUGGGGGGGGGGGGGUGAGUAGUUUUGGGAGAGGAUCGAGAUGCAGCAGGUACUUGGUGCAUUAAGAGUCAAAAGAACAUACCGGGAGUGAAAACAAUCUUGAGUUAUUCAAAAGGUUGUUCAGACACUGUAAAGAUGGGGUGUACUUGAUCCUGUUUUGGACUUGGUACAUUAUCUUUGGUACAUUAUUCAACAGUGCCCAGACAGCAGGUACAGUUUUGUGUGUUAGAAUUAACCUAAAUCAGUGAUAUCUUCAUUAGGUCUUUGUUCUCCGUAUGUCAUAGCUGUGGGAUGAAAAAACUGCGACCCAGUUUGCAACAUGGAUUCUUAAUAAAUAAAGUAAUCUAUUAUUAGCAUUAACUUCCCUCAUUUUAAAAAAUGUCAACAGAUUUGUGUUUUGGAGCGGAUGUUUUCACCAGACAGCGAGCCCAUACUUUAUCCCGAGAGAUUACAAUGUGGAUACUGGCUUGGCGGUUGUUUCUUAUGAUAAUAUGAUUUCCUCAAAAACAGCAACAAAAAUAUGAAUUUCAAAUUAUUUCAACAUUAUUCGCCAUGUGAAUUUGUGAAAUAUUUUUGUUUACAACUAACCUAAAUAUCAGGACAACAGUGGAUAUUGUUUUAGCACAGAAUAGCAAUAAUUCCCUGAUUUUAAUACUGUAUAUAACGUGGCACAGUCUUUAUACUGACCUCACAUCCAUCAUAAUCGUAGUAUAUUAUAACCUGACCAAUCGCUGUCCGCCCAGAGAGCCAGCAUUAUGUUAUAUGAUUGGUUUAGGUUAAGUUAGUUUCCAUGAAGUUAGUUGGCUAUGUUGGCUAUGGUCAUUAGUUUCCACAGACCUUGUUGGGAAAGUAUGAAUAUGUGUUGCAAUAAUAAUGACAGUGUGCAACUGUCACUGCUAUGUUCUUUCUACCUGUCACAAAAACAGUUUUUUUUACUUAUUUUGUAUGAAAUAAAUGUGUACAACAUCCUUCUCCAGC